AACGAACGUUGGCGGCGUGGAUGAGGCAUGCAAGUCGAGCGAGAAAGUCCCUUCGGGGGCGAGUACAGCGGCGGACGGGUGAGCAAUACGUAAUCAAGCUGCCCUUCAGACGGGGAUAACCACGGGAAACCGUAGCUAAUACCCGAUAUACCGGUUGGACGCAUGGUCGACCGGGCAAACGGCGGGGACCCUUCGGGGCCUGUUGCUGAGGGAUGCGAUCACGGCCUAUCAGCUAGUUGGCGGGGUAAUGGCCCACCAAGGCGACGACGGGUAGCCGGCCUGAGAGGGUGGUCGGCCACACUGGGACUGAGACACUGCCCAGACUCCUACGGGAGGCUGCAGUCGAGAAUCUUCCGCAAUGGGCGAAAGCCUGACGGAGCGACGCCGCGUGGAGGAUGAAGGCCUUCGGGUUGUAAACUCCUGUCACGGGUUAUGAAAUGGCGUGGUUUAACAGGCCACGUUUUGACGUAAGCCCGGAAGGAAGCACCGGCUAACUCUGUGCCAGCAGCCGCGGUAAUACAGAGGGUGCGAACGUUGUUCGGAAUUACUGGGCAUAAAGCGCGCGUAGGCGGCUACGUAAGUGUCUUGUGAAAUCCCACGGCUCACCCGUGUGAAUUGUGAGGCAUACUGCGUAGCUAGAGUGUGGUAGGGGAGAGCGGAACUCCUGGUGGAGCGGUGAAAUGCGUAGAUAUCAGGAGGAACACCGGCGGCGAAGGCGGCUCUCUGGUCCACUACUGACGCUGAGGUGCGAAAGCUAGGGUAGCGAACGGGAUUAGAUACCCCGGUAGUCCUAGCCGUAAACGAUGGGCACUGACUUGAGGUCUCCCUGUGGGAUCUCAGGUGUAGCAAAUGUGAUAAGUGCCCCGCCUGGGGAGUAUGGUCGCAAGGCUAAAACUCAAAGGAAUUGACGGGGGCUCACACAAGCGGUGGAGCAUGUGGUUCAAUUCGAUGCAACGCGAAGAACCUUACCCAGGCUUGACAUGCUGGGAUUACCUUGGCGAAAGUCGAGGGAUUACCUUCGGGUGUAACCAGCACAGGUGUUGCAUGGCUGUCGUCAGCUCGUGUCGUGAGAUGUCGGGUUAAGUCCCUUAACGAGCGAAACCCCUGCCAUUAGUUGCUAACGGGUAAAGCCGAGGACUCUAGUGGGACCGCCGUUGUCAAAACGGAGGAAGGCGGGGACGACGUCAAGUCAUCAUGGCCCUUACGCCUGGGGCUACACACGUGCUACAAUGGUUGGGACAAAGGGAAGCGAAGUCGCGAGGCGGAGCAAAUCCCAAAAACUCAACCCCAGUUCGGAUUGCAGGCUGAAACUCGUCUGCAUGAAGUUGGAAUCGCUAGUAAUCGCGGAUCAGCUAUGCCGCGGUGAAUAUGUUCCUGAGCCUUGUACACACCGCCCGUCAAGUCAUGAAAGCCGAGAGCGCCCGAAGUCGCUUGCCUAACCGAAAGGAGGGCGGCGCCGAAGGCGAGUUCGGUGAUUGGGACU
rnacentral:rRNA from 1 species